GAUGAACGCUGGCGGCGUGCCUAAUACAUGCAAGUCGAGCGAAUGGAUUAAGAGCUUGCUCUUAUGAAGUUAGCGGCGGACGGGUGAGUAACACGUGGGUAACCUGCCCAUUAGACUGGGAUAACUCCGGGAAACCGGGGCUAAUACCGGAUAACAUUUUGAACCGCAUGGUUCGAACUUGAAAGGCGGCUUCGGCUGUCACUUAUGGAUGGACCCGCGUCGCAUUAGCUAGUUGGUGAGGUAACGGCUCACCAAGGCAACGAUGCGUAGCCGACCUGAGAGGGUGAUCGGCCAGACUGGGACUGAGACACGGCCCAGACUCCUACGGGAGGCAGCAGUAGGGAAUCUUCCGCAAUGGACGAAAGUCUGACGGAGCAACGCCGCGUGAGUGAUGAAGGCUUUCGGGUCGUAAAACUCUGUUGUUAGGGAAGAACAAGUGCUAGUUGAAUAAGCUGGCACCUUGACGGUACCUAACCAGAAAGCCACGGCUAACUACGUGCCAGCAGCCGCGGUAA
rnacentral:rRNA from 1 species